CGUUCUUAGUUCGUGGAGUGAUCUGUCUGCUUAAUUGCGUUUCAAAUUUUAUAUUUGUUAACAUGCGAGUCUUCAAUGACGGCCACUCCACCUUAUAGACAUUAUAUGAUAUGCACAUUUGUGUAUUUGAUUAUAACUUGUCUGGAGUCUGGCUCGAUUUUUUUGACUCAAUUGAACGCAACGGACGUGAUUGCAAGUCCUUGUUGAACAAAUUAUAUAUAUACUACUUCAUCAUUAGUAUAUAUAGUUCGCUUCUCAUGUCGUAGCAGUCAAACGGGCGGGCGUCUUAAUUGGCGCGGUCACGAGGCUUAAUAUGCUGCGGCUGGGAAAACUUGGGCGACCGCUGUAAUACUUCUCUCUUAAACCAGAGGAAGAUUGCGGCAAUAACAGGUCUGUGAUGCCCUCAGAUGUCCCGGGCCGCACACGUGCUACAUUGAUUAGCGCAGUGCGCAUACUUACAUAUAGAUCAUUGAUUGGUUAUUUAUAACCGUCAAUAUCGCCUUGUCUGAAAGGACUAGGUAAUCUAUUGUAAGUGCUGGUUCCUCCUCCCGUUGAGCAUUUUAAUAAUGGUCUCUCUACAUCCCUAGCACAUGAUGUCUAGUGCGAUUGUAGUUGAGUUCUGCCAUUUAUGCAAGUGUCAAUUCUCA
rnacentral:rRNA from 1 species